rnacentral:lncRNA from 1 species
UCGAACAGCCGAACCGCUAAUAACGAAGCUAUUAAAGGAGGCGGCUGAGGAAGGUAUUAUUAGUUCCAGUCAGAUGGCAAAGGGUUUUUCUCGGUUGGCAGAAAGCCUUGAUGACCUUGCUCUUGACAUUCCAUCAGCAAAAACCUUGUUUCAGUCUCUGGUCCCCAAGGCAAUAUCUGAAGGUUGGCUUGAUGAUUCAUUUGUGGAAUCCCAUGGCGAAGACGGUGAAGUGCAGAAUGGAGAUGAAAAGAUGGGGCACUACAAGAAAGAGAUUGUGUCCAUAAUUCACGAAUACUUUCUCUCGGAUGAUAUUCCGGAGCUGAUUCAAAGCCUUGAAGAUCUUGCAGUACCAGAGUAUAAUCCCAUAUUCUUGAAGAAGCUGAUCACACUCGCAAUGGAUAGAAAGAACCGUGAAAAGGAGAUGGCAUCUGUUCUGCUUUCUGCCCUUCACAUUGAGAUCUUCUCGACUGAGGACAUAGUUAAUGGAUUUGUCUUGCUUCUGGAAUCUGCAGAAGAUACAGCAUUGGACAUCUUGGAUGCUUCAAAUGAGCUUGCUCUCUUUCUGGCCAGGGCUGUGAUCGAUGAUGUGUUGGCUCCACUGAAUUUGGAAGAAAUUGGCAGCAGGUUGCCACCAAAUUGCAGCGCAACUGAGACUGUGCGAAUGGCUCGGUCACUGGUUUCUGCUCGUCAUGCUGGUGAGAGGCUCCUGAGAUGUUGGGGAGGUGGGACUGGCUGGGCUGUGGAGGAUGCAAAGGACAAGAUCACAAAGCUCUUAGAAGAGUAUGAAAGUGGGCGAGUCGUGGCUGAAGCCUGCCAGUGCAUUCGUGAUAUCGGAAUGCCGUUUUUUAACCAUGAGGUGGUGAAGAAGGCUCUGGUUAUGGCCAUGGAGAAGAAGAAUGACAGCAUGCUGGAUCUGCUCCAGGAGUGCUUUGGCGAAGGACUGAUCACAAUUAACCAGAUGACUAAAGGGUUCACCCGGAUCAAGGACGGGCUAGAUGACUUGGCUCUUGACAUUCCAAAUGCAAGGGAGAAGUUCAGCUUCUACGUGGAGCACGCACAGGAGAAGGGUUGGCUCUUGCCUACCUUUGAUUCAUCUGUUGCAGAUGGUUCCCACUGACCCCUAGGCUGCAAACCAUCAACAGAGAACAU